UCUGUCCAUUUCAGUUGUGGAUCCACACACAGGUUGAAAUGCCACACAAAGCUAAUGACAUCUUUGUUUUAGAUGUCAUUUUGUCUUAUAAGUGUUCAAUAAGGAGGCUGCAGCUUUCCUUUCAAAGCACCAAAAUACACCCAUAUUUCUUUGACUUAAUUUUCAUGUCAUGAAUGUGACAUUGUGAUCACUCUUUUUCUGCAUUCAAAUGAGCCUUAUGCUUCCCAGAUUGCAGCUCUCAUUUGUAGUCAUAGGCUAUAUUUGGUGAUUGUAUUUUAUACAUCUGAUUGAGGUAAAAGGUAUUCUACAGAAGUUCUUUAAUUUCCCAGACCCAGAAGUGACCACAAACCCUAAUAUUCAAUGGAGAACUAUGGGUGGAAUUCAAUGUCUCGCUAUUCCAAUCGUUCUGUCUGCACAAGCGUUUCAGCUUGCCAGCUGGGACAAUUCUCCUUCUUCUCCCCUUGUGCGCUGUUCUGGGGGUUCUUCUGACUGCCCCAAGCCAAUUUUUUUGGGCGGGGGAAUGGGGGCGGGUGGAGAGAAGAUCUGUUCCACAAGUGGUAGUCCCUAUACUGGGUUAGGUGAAUCCCAUCCCUAUUUUAAAAAAUAAAAAGUUGAACUUACUUAAAAAAAAAAAAUUGGAGUGUAAUUUUCAAUAGGCAAUGUCUGAAACAGCACAGAAACUUAACACGGAGGCCUGGGCUGAUGCAUGGCUUCCAGCAUUGCUAAUGCUGCAUGUUGUAUGCAGGCCAGUUGUAUGCAGGCACACUGCACCUCAGAUGCUGCUCCUGAAGCAGCUUUUCAUUCAGCCAUUGUUUUGCUUCUUCUGGGCAAGCCAGGAGGCAAAUUUAGACACAGUAAGGAGGAGACUUUGCAGUGACAACCGAAUAUCACUCCUAGUGCCUGCGUCUUCCUUCGAGGAUCAAAGCAGCAACAGAGACAACCUCCCUGCUCCUUCCUCUUCCUCUAUCCCUCAUCAACAACAGGAGGCAUAGGGAGGCAGGCUGAGAAGAAGAAACUACAACAGCAGAAAUGUACACCAAGGCAUCAGCUAGACUGCAUCAGAAAGGAAGCUGAGGCUUCACUUUAAAAAUAAAGGGCCAGAUUCAACUAAGUUGUUAUGCUAGCAGAAGCCAGUGCAAAGAGUUGUGCUAGCACAAUGGGACUAUUCGCCUCCUCUUCAUUCCUGCACCCUCCCCAAAUUUUCUCAGAAGUGUCAGAAGAAUCCCUGGAACAACACAUGGGAGGAAGAGAGAGGAGAUCCUUCUGUCUGGCAAGCAGAAAUGCUUGCACUGCUGAAACAAUCACCUUGAAUUCCACCCUUUUUUAAAAAAAAAAGUAAAGAAAGUGGCAAUAGUGCUGCUGCUGCGCCUUAGGACAAAAACCAUCCCAGUUGUGAACUGAGCCCUUUCAACUGAAGACCAGUGUUCAACUAUGGAGGCAGAGUUGUGGCAACCUACGACACUGACCACCAAUGUUUCUAUAUAGUGCUACAAUUUUCCAUUCUUCUCAAGUCCAGGUACCUUUCAUAUUUCCUGCAAUACAAAGGCUGGUAAGGCACAACCCAUUACUUUUGUUCACUGGUUUAAGCAAAGAUGGGCUGAAGACCACAGCAUGGCAUCAACCCCUUCUGUAAACAAGGAGCAUAAUAGUAGCAUUGCGUCAUUUUGCAACUUCUUGAAGAUGUGGAAUGCUGGCAAGAGACUGGAUUGGCGAGACAGGAGCCUAAGAGGCAGAGAGCAAUCAAAGGCCAUGGGGAUGGGCUAAGCAACAGCCAGUACACCUCCUUUCAGGAUUAGGCAAGACAACACAGAUGGAGAAUGCAGACGCUUCCAAUGGAAUCAACCCAGAUUAUGGGCUUAGGGAGGGAAUUUGGGUGCGUUUGAGAAUGAAGUGGGCACAGCUGAUUACCAACCAUGUAGGCCGGUUUGAAGGAUUUGUGGUUUUUGGGUAAACUCAGAGCACCCAUUUCCCCUUUAUCAGUGACUUGGCCCGAAACAUCACAGGAAGUAGAAAGCAUGCGGGAACACUGUCCCAUCCUGACCUAAAACUUCAGCAGGAAAUAGUGGAUACACCAAUAAGUCUACCACUGAGUCAAGUGUCUCAGCCACAACAAAAACAGGAGGGAGAGAAGGGAUUAACCAUAGAAACACAUAUCUGCCUGCAACUUCCUUGUUCCCAUAUACAUCUUCCAAGGCACCUUCCGUUCUCCAAGAACAUGAACACCCAGGACUCUAGCACUCCAGACAUUACAUUGGAGUUUCUAAGUGAAUACUUGUCCUAGCAUCUGGAAGGAAGGCACAACCUAAACAUUUCUCCAAAGAGACACAUAUCCAGCCAGUGCAGGAUGGACUGCCCUUGGAGUGCCCUCUGCUCUCAGCUAUCAAAAUGUGAGAAGACAGUACAACCUGACCAACUGGCUUCCAAUCUUCAGAAAAGGAGCACUACCCAAAGCACCUUGCAGCUAAUGUUUGGGAGACGGUUGCUGUCCAGUUACAUGGAUGUCUGCAUUGAGAAUGAAAUGGAAUGGAAUCUGCACAGGCAUUUGGCUCCUAGAUGCUGGAGAGGGGACCUCAUCCAGGCAGUACUUGGCCAUCUGCCUGGUCCCUUGCAUUGAAUGUUAGUUCAGUGCUUUUGGUACAGAGGAGAAAGGUAGGCCUACGAGUGCACAGCUGUCUCAUUCAUAGCCCACAGAGCCAAUGGUCUUUGGCCCAGUUCCCUCCCUCUCCCCAUUUAUUCAGGCUCUGGGACACCUGCCCCCACAUCUCCUCUAGCCUGGAUUCUCUCAGGCAGAAUGGCCCUUUCUGUUGCGUAGGUUGCAGUGGGAUUCUCCUCUGGCCAAAACACACAUAACACAGGACGAGAAAGGUGAUGUAAAAAUUCUGAAUGGCCCGUGAGUUGGGCAGGUCCUAGGGAUGCCAACAAAAGCUUGCAAGCAGCCACAUGAAAAAGGAGGCUUCUCUCCCUGCUCAAGACCUGGCCAAACAUUUGGCACAAGUGCAAAUACCUUAGAUUGUUUCCUAAGGGGAUCUCCCCAACAACAAGGGUUCCACCCUAAAGGAACACUCCUUACCCUGCAUCCUAACAAAGGUUUCUCCUGUUUCCCAUGCACAGCCUUCCCCUCUACACAAAGUUCAGGACUAUAUUGCUAGAAGAUAGUAUAGUGCUCUGAAACUAAUGCCCAGAGGCACUGCCCAGAAUCAGAAGGGACUGUUAUAAAGCAGGAGUAGCCAAGGUGGUACCAUCAAAUGAUGUUAGACUCCUAUCUCCUCUCAGGUCCAGCCAACAUGAUCAGUGAUGAUGGGAGCUGCAGUAGAGCAUCAGGAGGGCACCAGGUUGUCUACCCUUGUUAAAAUACAUUUCUACUGACCCCAUGACCCCACCAAGUCUGCCCUUGCAAUCAUGGUAAAGUCAACUUACAAAUAUGCCACUGGGAAAGUGCAAAUCCGGAAUUUACACAGAAUGCACUUUGGAUGCUGACAGUGCUAUCCAAGUACAGAAUCUACAGAUGUAAUGGAAAAGGGCAGGUGUAAACUGGUUAAACUGCAAUCUCUACACAGUGAAGUAUUCUUCCAGGAAGCACUCUAUUCCAGGGAAUAGCCCCUUGAACUUUGAAAACAAUUUGCUCCCAAAUGAAUAGGAACUUCCCAUCAACAAAGAUGGCAUAUGAUACUAGGAAGUGCUACGUCAGCACUUGCAGAGGGAGGGAUUUCCUAGCAAAGUUCAGGCUACACCAUAGGGAGUAAUGGUGAAGAGUCCAUUGGUGGACAGGCAGUGUCAGGUGUGAUUCAGGCACCAUUAUGUUCUGGGUAGGCCUAAGAUGGAAGAAUGGGGCCUACUAAUUUUAGUUCCACCAUACCCAUACUAUCCUCAGAAUCUUGGCUUUGCAUGUUGUGACUAAUGAUUCAGAUGCCCAACCCCAAAGAUGGUGGUAUGAUGGGUUCAAGAUUACUUCACUCCCAAGACCCUGUUUCCUGCCCCCAAAUAAGAUAGCUAUGUGAAGCUAAAAACUGUAAUUGUUGUAGUCUUGACAGAGGCAUGUUUCAAACUUCAUAUACCUUCCUGAGCAGCCAAGAAGGGCCUGACUAGCCUGGUCUCCAUCAAAUACCAGAACCCUGAGGCCAAAGAAAAGGCUGUUGGCUCCCCCUGGUGGGAGCCACCACACUGUGAAGGAAUCACCCUGAUCAAGAUACCUCCAUCAAGCUUCCAUGGGUAGUUUCCUCCAGUCACACUCAGCACAGAAGCUAAGACAGUGUCAAAAAUCACCCUGUUGGGAACUUCGAAAGGGGCUCAGAUGUGAGAGUAGGGGAGGGAUAUCAGACUUGGAAAGGAUGGCUAUAUGUGCUCUUAUGAGGUGGUGCUUCUGAGAUGGGAGCAACUAUCUGAAUCCCAGGAUUCUGGAGUCAAUUAAAAAAAGGAGAGUAAUCACAGUAGAGAUGAAAUUGCUUGCAUCCCUCACUGCCUCUGCCAGCUUUGAUACAGACAUCCCAUGGAAGGAUGUGGGUACAGCAGGCAAGCAAAGGGUUAUUGUAGCUACCAAAAUGACUGAAUGGGCCAUGGAGACAGGGUGGGUGGCAUGUGGAAACCGUUACCUGCCUGGCGAUAAAUAGAGGAUUCAGUCUCUGAGCUUGUCAGUCAGGGGCACCUUUCACCGCCUGAGCUAAAAAUUCCUUUU